AACAAAUACUUCAUAUCUGAAUUCUGCCAUCUUUAUGCAACUUUGCCAUUUUACUUCUGAUAAUGGAAGAACAAUUGAAAGACAUUGCUGUAGUUCUUCUGAUGUUUGUCUAUUUGCUUGUCCCUUGCUGCUAGAAUUGCAAUCUGUAUUCCAAGAUCUGCAGCUUCAUGAAAAAUGUCAGCUGGAUUUCACAGUUUCCUUACUAGAUGCAGUGUUUGUGGGUGUACAUGAUGCUGUGCCUCCAAGGGAUGGACUACCAGUGGUGAAUGGGAUUGUGUUCUACAAGCAAUAGUCACCCGAAGACGGGCUUGUCAUCAGACAUCUUAUAGCUUUGCCAGAGGCUAGACUCCCAUUGUGAUGCCUCGGACUCUGACGAUGACACGGACUACAAAGUAUCCUGUUACAACAAUCUACUAAAUUAAUUUGGGUCCCCUGGCCACAUCCAGCAAUUUAAACUAGCAUUGAAUCAAUACUUUCAUGUUAUUACUCUUUAAAAUUAAUAAAUUGUUGGCUCUUGAAGACUUCCUCCAGUACUUUUUUUUUUAUUUUAAUUUAAAAAAAAAAUUUUUUUUAAAGCAAUAUACCAAGCUUAACUGCAGACUUCAAGGAGUUGGUCUGAGUGACUUAGUGAUGUGCAAAUUCCAUGUUUUGUGCAGCUGUAUAAAGACAAGUUGGACUGCCUGUGUAAAUGCAGCCUUUGCUCAGGGGUAUACAACUCAUACCCUACAAGGUCCAGCGCCUGCUGGUUUUGUUCUGCUAAUGACCUUGUGUUCCAGGUCUGAAAUCAGUCCCAAAAAUUCCAGUCUUGAAUUUGAGGAACUUACAGCAUCCAGGAAUGUUUACUUGUUUUGAGCCCUUUUCUCUAGGCUUAAAAUUAGCGUUCAAAUGGGGCAGAGAUUACAUGACUGCUACUUGGACACUUAAAUAGUGUUACCCAACAUUAUAGCAAAACCCUUAGCAUGCUCAUUGUGACAAUCUGUCAUUCUUUAGCAAACAUGUUUAGUUAUGCAGUCGCCUCAGCAAUACAUUAACUCAUGCUUGUAAUUUAAGGUGCAAUCUGCAGUUGCUUUUGGGGCAUUUAUGCCCAUUGAUUUUAUAUAGUGAUUUGAAAGUAUUCAUACCCCUUCACCACAUUGUUCACAAGUGGAUAAAAUCUUACUUGGACAGGUUUUCUAGAAAUGUUUGAAAAUGUAAGGUCUGUACUCCAGUCAUGUGAAGUCAAUGAAAGCCUAAUUUAAAU